rnacentral:rRNA from 1 species
GACGAACGCUGGCGGCGUGCUUAACACAUGCAAGUCGAACGGAAAGGCCCUGCUUUUGUGGGGUGCUCGAGUGGCGAACGGGUGAGUAACACGUGAGUAACCUGCCCUUGACUUUGGGAUAACUUCAGGAAACUGGGGCUAAUACCGGAUAGGAGCUCCUGCUGCAUGGUGGGGGUUGGAAAGUUUCGGCGGUUGGGGAUGGACUCGCGGCUUAUCAGCUUGUUGGUGGGGUAGUGGCUUACCAAGGCUUUGACGGGUAGCCGGCCUGAGAGGGUGACCGGCCACAUUGGGACUGAGAUACGGCCCAGACUCCUACGGGAGGCAGCAGUGGGGAAUAUUGCACAAUGGGCGGAAGCCUGAUGCAGCAACGCCGCGUGCGGGAUGACGGCCUUCGGGUUGUAAACCGCUUUCGCCUGUGACGAAGCGUGAGUGACGGUAAUGGGUAAAGAAGCACCGGCUAACUACGUGCCAGCAGCCGCGGUGAUACGUAGGGUGCGAGCGUUGUCCGGAUUUAUUGGGCGUAAAGGGCUCGUAGGUGGUUGAUCGCGUCGGAAGUGUAAUCUUGGGGCUUAACCCUGAGCGUGCUUUCGAUACGGGUUGACUUGAGGAGGGUAGGGGAGAAUGGAAUUCCUGGUGGAGCGGUGGAAUGCGCAGAUAUCAGGAGGAACACCAGUGGCGAAGGCGGUUCUCUGGGCCUUUCCUGACGCUGAGGAGCGAAAGCGUGGGGAGCGAACAGGCUUAGAUACCCUGGUAGUCCACGCUGUAAACGGUGGGUACUAGGUGUGGGGUCCAUUCCACGGGUUCCGUGCCGUAGCUAACGCUUUAAGUACCCCGCCUGGGGAGUACGGCCGCAAGGCUAAAACUCAAAGGAAUCGACGGGGCCCCGCACAAGCGGCGGAGCAUGCGGAUUAAUUCGAUGCAACGCGUAGAACCUUACCUGGGUUUGACAUGGAUCGGGAGUGCUCAGAGAUGGGUGUGCCUCUUUUGGGGUCGGUUCACAGGUGGUGCAUGGCUGUCGUCAGCUCGUGUCGUGAGAUGUUGGGUUAAGUCCCGCAACGAGCGCAACCCUUGUUCACUGUUGCCAGCACGUUAUGGUGGGGACUCAGUGGAGACCGCCGGGGUCAACUCGGAGGAAGGUGGGGAUGACGUCAAGUCAUCAUGCCCCUUAUGUCCAGGGCUUCACGCAUGCUACAAUGGCUGGUACAGAGAGUGGCGAGCCUGUGAGGGUGAGCGAAUCUCGGAAAGCCGGUCUCAGUUCGGAUUGGGGUCUGCAACUCGACCUCAUGAAGUCGGAGUCGCUAGUAAUCGCAGAUCAGCAACGCUGCGGUGAAUACGUUCCCGGGGCU